rnacentral:tRNA from 1 species
CGCGGGGUGGAGCAGUACGGUAGCUCGUCGGGCUCAUAACCCGAAGGUCGCAGGUUCAAAUCCUGUCUGUCCCCGCAACCA